rnacentral:rRNA from 1 species
GACGAACGCUGGCGGCGUGCUUAACACAUGCAAGUCGAACGGAAAGGCCCUGCUCUUGUGGGGUGCUCGAGUGGCGAACGGGUGAGUAACACGUGAGUAACCUGCCCUUGACUUUGGGAUAACUUCAGGAAACUGGGGCUAAUAUCCGAUAGGAGCUCCUGCUGCAUGGUGGGGGUUGGAAAAUUUCGGCUGUUGGGGAUGGACUCGCGGCUUACCAGCUUGUUGGUCGGGUAGUCGUAUACCAAGGCUUUGACGGGUAGCCGGCAUGAGAGGUUGGCCAGGCACAUUAGGACUGAGAUACGGCGCAGUCUCCUACGGGAGGCAGCAGUGGAGAGUAUUGCACAGUGGGCGGAAGCCUGAUGCAGAGGCGCCGCGUGCGUGAUGACGGCCUUCGAGUGGUAAACCGCUUUCGCCUGUGACAAGGCGUGAGUGACGGUAAUGGGUAAGGAAGCACCGGCUAACUACGUG